rnacentral:ncRNA from 1 species
GGCAAAUUAUGACUUAAUUGGAGAAUUGCGUUUUUUCAACAAAUUUUGAUUUUUAUACUGGGCUUUUUUUGGAUAAAAAAUUUGUAGUAAUUAACCUUGUAUAUUCGUGAAUGGUGAGAUACAGCAAUAGAAAUAGCUCUAACUAAGUUUGUGCCAGCAGUUGCGGUUAUUCAAACAGAGCAAUGCAAUUUAUAUAGCUUUAGUUAAUUUUUGAUUAAUCUGGGAUUAAGUGAAAAAUUUAGGGGUGAAAUUUAAAUUUUUAAUUAAUUUAGUUUUUAUAAUGAUUACUAAGAAAAUUUUUUUAUAAACUAGGAUUAGAGACCCUAUUAUUAAAAUUGUAAAUUUUCAAAGUUGGAUUAGUAGUAGAUAUGUUCUUGAAAAUUAAAUGUCUUGGCGGUAUUUUAACUUAUUAGAGGAAUCUGUCUUUUAAUUGAUAAUCCACGAUUUAUUAAACUUUUAUUUUGCUUGCAUAUCGUCGUUGUUAGAAUAUUUUGGGAAAAUAAAAUUUUCGUAAAUUUUUAUUGGGAUUUAGAUCAGAUCAAGGCGUAGCUUUUAGAAGGUUAGAUGGAUUACAUUGAUGAUUUUGGAAUUGAAAAUUUCAUGAAUAUUAGGAUUUAAUAGUAAUUUUAUAUAAUUAUUAUAAGGUGAAUAAAGCUCUAGAAUAUGUACAUAUUGCCCGUCGCUUUUACUAAUUAGGUAAAAUAAGUCGUAACAUAGUAGGCCUACUGGAAGGUGGGCCUAGAAUUAU